GAAAUCUCCCCAGAAACCUUAAGAGAAUUGUCCAGAUUUCCUGAAAGUGCUUUCAGCAGUGUUGUUUUUCCACACCCAGGAGGUCCAAGCAGUAGAGUCAUACGUCCGGGUUUUAUUACACCGCUGACAUCAUUAAUGAUAUUUAUCUUGGCCAUUUCUGACUGUAGGCCUGGAAGCCUGGCAAGGUUCAUUAUUGUGCUUUUGAGAGAAUUCCAAAGAGUAGGGAGAGGCUUUCCAUGAACUAGCUCACAUUCUGCUUCAAUGGUUAAAUUUUUGUAUCUCAC
rnacentral:misc_RNA from 1 species